rnacentral:rRNA from 1 species
GAUGAACGCGGGCGGCGUGCCUAAUACAUGCAAGUAGAACGCUGAAGCUUGGUGCUUGCACCGAGCGGAAGAGUUGCGAACGGGUGAGUAACGCGUAGGUAACCUGCCUCUUAGCGGGGGAUAACUAUUGGAAACGAUAGCUAAUACCGCAUAAAAGUCGGCAUUGCAUGAUGUUGACUUGAAAGGUGCAACUGCAUCACUAAGAGAUGGACCUGCGUUGUAUUAGCUAGUUGGUGAGGUAACGGCUCACCAAGGCGACGAUACAUAGCCGACCUGAGAGGGUGAUCGGCCACACUGGGACUGAGACACGGCCCAGACUCCUACGGGAGGCAGCAGUAGGGAAUCUUCGGCAAUGGACGGAAGUCUGACCGAGCAACGCCGCGUGAGUGAAGAAGGUUUUCGGAUCGUAAAGCUCUGUUGUAAGAGAAGAACGAGUGUGAGAGUGGAAAGUUCACACUGUGACGGUAACUUACCAGAAAGGGACGGCUAACUACGUGCCAGCAGCCGCGGUAAUACGUAGGUCCCGAGCGUUAUCCGGAUUUAUUGGGCGUAAAGCGAGCGCAGGCGGUUAGAUAAGUCUGAAGUUAAAGGCUGUGGCUUAACCAUAGUACGCUUUGGAAACUGUUUAACUUGAGUGCAGAAGGGGAGAGUGGAAUUCCAUGUGUAGCGGUGAAAUGCGUAGAUAUAUGGAGGAACACCGGUGGCGAAAGCGGCUCUCUGGUCUGUAACUGGCGCUGAGGCUCGAAAGCGUGGGGAGCAAACAGG